rnacentral:rRNA from 1 species
UAGGGAAUCUUCCACAAUGGGCGGCAAGCCUGAUGGAGCAACACCGCGUGAGUGAAGAAGGGUUUCGGCUCGUAAAGCUCUGUUGUUAAAGAAGAACACGUAUGAGAGUAACUGUUCAUACGUUGACGGUAUUUAACCAGAAAGUCACGGCUAACUACGUGCCAG